ACAUGCGAAUGUAUUUCAUAGUUUACAAGUUAUUGGCUUGGAGACCACAGCUGAUGUUUUCAUUAGCCGCUCGCCGGACGGGGGCCACAAAAAAAAAAAACAUAAAUAAAUAAGAAAACAAUGGGAAAACUGGAACUGGGUGGUAGUGGCGACAUGGGACGACACUUUCCCGAGUCGAGAUAAAUUGCACCUUUAAAUUAACCCAUUAACGAGCUGGGUCCACGCCGAUAUGGAUACAAAAUCCAUAUUAAGAGCCACGCUGAAGAGGGUUAUUCAACAUUCAAAACUGUAAAACUUAGAACGGGAAUCCUGCAUUGGAAGCUACAUUUAAACAUUUCCAAGUUAAAAGUAUAUAACACUUUCUUUACAAGAAACUAGAAGGUCCUUCUGUUCCCAAUAGUUUUAUAAAUUCUCUAAUCAAGCCACUGUUUCAAUUUUGUUGCUUUAAAGAACUUUUCGAGUAUUAGGGGUUAAAAAGGAAAUCAUAUUUUUAAGUUCCUCAAGCAUUGCCAAUCCACCAAUCCAAGCACAAUGCCCUUGAAAGGCGCUUGAAAUAUGUGUGAAACGUGUGUGCCAAGUACCCAGUACCCAGUAACCAGUAACCAGUAACCAGUAGACGGCAGCACCCAGUACUUGGAACACCCAGUUCAGUGCCCAAGGAAGCAAGGAAGCAGCCGAUACUUAUCGGGUGUCGACGUCGCCAUCGAAUUGGGAUUGUUCGGUUCGAUCCUACAACAAAUGGCGAAAUCACUUAACACACCGUUAACACCCACAUUAGUUGUACUCCGGCGCACGUGAGGAUGAUGGGGGCAGGGGCAAACUGCGUUCCACUUACAGCCGGAGUUUCAAUUACUUUUUCGCCGAGCCACCACCGAAAUUAUUAUAUGCCAAGGAGCUCGCAUAGGCGUCUCAUAAUCGAAUUAAAUGCAUUGCUGCCGCCAGUUGAACGACGACGACGACGGGGUGGGCAUAGGGCAUAAUACGGCCCGAGUCGAAAAAGUCAUUAAAAACGCAGGCCAAGCGAUUGCACGCAAAUUUGCUGGUUACCGCUCGCUGUCUUUGUUCCUGGUUCGAACUUCGAAUCCCCCGCCGCCCAACCAGCAGUUGCUACUGGUUCAGCACAGCCGCGGGCAGCUGACUAGCAGCCCAUCAAUUGAGUAUUUCAAUUGGCCUUAUCAGGAUCACUUUUAAGAAAAAGGAUCUUUUCAAUGUACAAAUAUUCAACGUUUCAAAUGUUCAACAGAAAAAUAGUUCUAUUGAAGAGAUUAAAAUUGUGUGCCCCCCAUCGUACCCAUCACCCAUUCGCUGGCACACAUGAGCUGGUCGAACUAUGAAUGGAAUUGGCAAUGAAAUCGCACGUGGCGAUUCUCUGGUCACCCGCGAUAAGCAACUGCCGUCGCGUGGCUCCGUUGCCCGGAUUCUAACCCCCGACCCACCCGGAUCGCUCCCGAGCAGAGAUACUAUCGAUGGAAUGGACGGAUGAAUGAGGACACUUUGCCAUACCGAGGGGUAUGUUUGACAAGCUCGACACCCUGUAGUGUCAAUCCCUUUCAUAGUGAAACAAAGGUGCCUUUUUACUAAGCCACUACAGUUUGCGUUAAUUUUUAACCAAGGUGCAGAACUAUGAGCUGGAAAAUCGAAGCUCAGUUCGGCGGGCAGAUGGAUUGUAUCUAAAUACAUACUUAUAUGGAAACUGUGGAAGGAAACUGCUCCCCAAGGAUCUCAACGCCUAAGAGAUAAAAGCCUAAGCUCAAAGCUGAGCUAAAUUUAUUGGUCCAUUUCUGGCAAUGCAUUAAUACAUUAAUAUUUGACCUCAAGCUGACCGAGGGAAAUAAGUGUGUACUGCGAUUUUACCACUCCCACACGCAUUGGAAAUCACCCAGCAAACCAUAAAUAUUCAUACGAGUUGACUUUGUGAUCGGCUGCACUGGAAAAUGGCAGUCGAGCUUAGCAAAUCACAAAUUUAUGGCCCAAUCCAUCAAUGCCAAUGCGACGGCCGACUUUAAAAGGGACCUACCUCCCUUCGCACCACCGAACCAAAUUAAACCACACCACACCACAGCACAGCACAGCACACCAAACGAAAGCAAACCACCGCACCGCACCGCACCACUGUAAUCGCUUCCCACGAUCGCCGCGGUGCAGCGAGCAUUUCCAUAUGUAAAGUUGCGCCUUCAUUAAUCCGUAAAUUAGAAGCAUUGAAUGAUAUCAGUCGCCCUCUGAAGUGCACCCUCUUCCCAGUUCCACUCGGAAUACCAAUCCCAAUUCCACUCCCAAUGCCAAUGCCAAUCCCAGUCCCCUAAAACAAAUCACUGCACACGGGGUUCAGGCAGAGCUCGAAAUCCUAGCCCAACACAAUCCACUGCAAUCCCACCACCGCUCUGAACAGUGGGACGAAAUGCAUUUACCAUAGAUGUCACGGAAAUCCUUUAAAAUAUAUUCAAAACAUAUGUAAAUAGCUGCAUUAAGAAAUACAGUUAGCAUGCUUGAUGUUAGUUUGAAACGAUAAAAGAA